rnacentral:misc_RNA from 1 species
GGAUGAAGAACGUAGCGAAAUGCGAUAAGUAAUGUGAAUUGCAGAAUUCAGUGAAUCAUCGAAUCUUUGAACGCACAUUGCGCCCGCCAGUAUUCUGGCGGGCAUGCCUGUUCGAGCGUCAUUUCAACCAUCAAGCCCUGCUUGCGUUGGGGUCCUGCGGCUGCCCGCAGGCCCUGAAAACCAGUGGCGGGCUCGCUAGUCACACCGAGCGCAGUAAUACAUCUCGCUUUGGGCGUGCGGCGGGUUCUUGCCGUUAAACACCCCCUUUUUACCAAGGUUGACCUCGGAUCAGGUAGGAAUACCCGCUGAACUUAAGCAUAUCAAUAAGCGGAGGA